UACGGGGGGGGCAAGCGUUGUUCGGAAUUACUGGGCGUAAAGGGCUCGUAGGCGGCCAACUAAGUCAGACGUGAAAUCCCUCGGCUUAACCGGGGAACUGCGUCUGAUACUGGAUGGCUUGAGUUCGGGAGAGGGAUGCGGAAUUCCAGGUGUAGCGGUGAAAUGCGUAGAUAUCUGGAGGAACACCGGUGGCGAAGGCGACAUCCUGGACCGGUAUUGACGCUGAGUGAGCGAAAGCCAGGGGAGCAAACGGG
rnacentral:rRNA from 1 species